rnacentral:rRNA from 1 species
GACGAACGAUGGCGGAGUGCCUAAUACAUGCAAGUAGAACGCAGUUGCGCACGGUUGAGUAACGCGUAGGUUACUGCCUCAUAGCGGGGGAUAACUAUUGGAAACGAUAGCUAAUACCGCAUACUGUGAGAUGGACCUGCGUUGUAUUAGCUAGUUGGUGAGGUAAAGGCUCACCAAGGCGACGACUCAUAGCCGACCUGGGAGGGUGGUCGGCCACACUGGGAAUGGGAAAAGGCCCAGAGUGCUACGGGAGGAAGCAGUAAGGAGUCUUGGGCAAUGGUUGGAAGGCUGACCGGGCAACGGAGCGUGAGUGAAGAGGGUUUUCGGGUCGUAAAACAAUGUUAUAAGAGACGCGGUAGCUAACCAGAAAGGGAAGGCUAACUACGGGCCAGCCGCCGCGGUAAUAC